AAGGGAUUGGCUUAAUGGUAGAGCAACCGUUUUACACACGGAAGGUUAGGUGUUCAAGUCACCUAUUCCUUA
rnacentral:tRNA from 4 species